GACGAACGCUGGCGGCGUGCCUAAUACAUGCAAGUAGAACGCUGAAGGAGGAGCUUGCUUCUCUGGAUGAGUUGCGAACGGGUGAGUAACGCGUAGGUAACCUGCCUGGUAGCGGGGGACAACUAUUGGAAACGAUAGCUAAUACCGCAUAAGAGUAGAUGUUGCAUGACAUUUGCUUAAAAGGUGCAAUUGCAUCACUACCAGAUGGACCUGCGUUGUAUUAGCUAGUUGGUGAGGUAACGGCUCACCAAGGCGACGAUACAUAGCCGACCUGAGAGGGUGAUCGGCCACACUGGGACUGAGACACGGCCCAGACUCCUACGGGAGGCAGCAGUAGGGAAUCUUCGGCAAUGGACGGAAGUCUGACCGAGAAACGCCGCGUGAGUGAAGAAGGUUUUCGGAUCGUAAAGCUCUGUUGUAAGAGAAGAACGAGUGUGAGAGUGGAAAGUUCACACUGUGACGGUAUCUUACCAGAAAGGGACGGCUAACUACGUG
rnacentral:rRNA from 1 species